UUCGAGAUAACUCAGUGGUUAGAGUGACACAUCAAUCAUGUGGGUUCGAAUCCCACUCCCUGAA
rnacentral:tRNA from 1 species